rnacentral:rRNA from 1 species
CAUGAAGCUGGAAUCGCUAGUAAUCGCGAAUCAGAAUGUCGCGGUGAAUACGUUCCCGGGUCUUGUACACACCGCCCGUCACACCAUGGGAGUCGGAUAUGCCCGAAGCCGGUGACCUAACCGCAAGGAAGGAGCCGUCGAAGGUGGAGCCGAUGACUGGGGUGAAGUCGUAACAAGGUAAC